rnacentral:misc_RNA from 1 species
GUUCAUUUAUAUUCAGCAUAGCCUGCAAGGAAGUAUGGUAAAAUACAACUUUUUCUUCCUACCAAUCAGUAUUGAUGUACAGCUUGAAUAAAUAGCAUGUGAUUAGGCUCCCAGUAACCAAGAAUACAGCCACUGGCCAGCAUAUCAGGGAUGAUUACAAGCAUAGUAUUCUUUCCAAACUCAACUCCCAAACCCCACCAAAAAUAAACACCCGUAUGUCAGAACAUGCACAUGUGGGCAUGCCUUUGGUUGUCAAGCCCAAUAACGAUUGCCCCAAAGUAAUCACUUAGAAUAUCUCGGCUCAAUCCUUCAAGUAGAUGGGGGAGGUGAGGAAGAUGUUAGUCAUAGGAUUAAAGCCAGAUGGUUGAAGUGGAGAUGUGCUACGAGAGUUUUACGUGAUCGCAAAAAUCUCAAUAAUUGAAAGAAAAAUUUUACCUUAUAGUUAUACGACCGGCCAUGUUAUA